rnacentral:rRNA from 1 species
CCUACGGGAGGCAGCAGUGGGGAAUAUUGGGCAAUGGGCGAAAGCCUGACCCAGCAACGCCGCGUGAAGGAAGAAGGCUUUCGGGUUGUAAACUUCUUUUGACAGGGAAGAGCAGAAGACGGUACCUGUCGAAUAAGCCACGGCUAACUACGUGCCAGCAGCCGCGGUAAUACGUAGGUGGCAAGCGUUGUCCGGAUUUACUGGGUGUAAAGGGCGUGUAGCCGGGCUGACAAGUCAGAUGUGAAAUCCGGGGGCUCAACCCCCGAACUGCCUUUGAAACUGUUGGUCUUGAGUGGAGUAGAGGUAGGCGGAAUUCCCGGUGUAGCGGUGAAAUGCGUAGAGAUCGGGAGGAACACCAGUGGCGAAGGCGGCCUUCUGGGCUCUAACUGACGCUGAGGCACGAAAGCGUGGGUAGCAAACAGGAUUAGAUACCCCAGUAGUC